rnacentral:rRNA from 1 species
UGCGAAAGUAAGACUAAUACCCAAUGACGUCUCUAGAAGACAUCUGAAAGAGAUUAAAGAUUUAUCGGUGAUGGAUGGGGAUGCGUCUGAUUAGCUUGUUGGCGGGGUAACGGCCCACCAAGGCGACGAUCAGUAGGGGUUCUGAGAGGAAGGUCCCCCACAUUGGAACUGAGACACGGUCCAAACUCCUACGGGAGGCAGCAGUGAGGAAUAUUGGUCAAUGGGCGAGAGCCUGAACCAGCCAAGUAGCGUGCAGGAUGACGGCCCUAUGGGUUGUAAACUGCUUUUAUAAGGGAAUAAAGUGAGUCUCGUGAGGCUUUUUGCAUGUACCUUAUGAAUAAGGACCGGCUAAUUCCGUGCCAGCAGCCGCGGUAAUACGGAAGGUCCGGGCGUUAUCCGGAUUUAUUGGGUUUAAAGGGAGCGUAGGCCGGAGAUUAAGCGUGUUGUGAAAUGUAGACGCUCAACGUCUGCACUGCAGCGCGAACUGGUUUCCUUGAGUACGCACAAAGUGGGCGGAAUUCGUGGUGUAGCGGUGAAAUGCUUAGAUAUCACGAAGAACUCCGAUUGCGAAGGCAGCUCACUGGAGCGCAACUGACGCUGAAGCUCGAAAGUGCGGGUAUCGAACAGGAUUAGAUACC